UAAGAGGUCCCGCCUGCCCUGUGACUAUAAGUUUAACGGCCGCGGUAUUUUGACCGUGCAAAGGUAGCGCAAUCACUUGUCUCUUAAAUGGAGACCUGUAUGAAUGGCACGACGAGGGCUUAGCUGUCUCCUCAUUCAAGUCAAUGAAAUUGAUCUCCCCGUGCAGAAGCGGGGAUAAAACCAUAAGACGAGAAGACCCUAUGGAGCUUUAGACACCAGAGUAGAUCAUGUUAAACAACCCUUAAUUAAAGGACUAAACCAAAUGCCUACUACCCCCAUGUCUUUGGUUGGGGCGACCGCGGGGAAACACAAAACCCCCGUGUGGAACGGGAACACCCCCUCCUACAGCUAAGAGUCUCCACUCUAACGCACAGAAUAUCUGACCAAUAUGAUCCGGCAACGCCGAUCAACGAACCGAGUUACCCUAGGGAUAACAGCGCAAUCCCCUUUUAGAGCCCAUAUCGACAAGGGGGUUUACGACCUCGAUGUUGGAUCAGGACAUCCUAAUGGUGCAGCCGCUAUUAAGGGUUCGUUUGUUCAACG
rnacentral:rRNA from 1 species